GAUGAUGAUCAGAUCACAUUUUAUGACCAAUUUGUGCAGAAAUCCAUAUCAUUCCAAAGGGUUCACAUACUUUUUUCUUGCAGCUGUAUAGUAUAUUGUUUAUGUGCCUAUGUAGAGUGCAGCUCCUUUGUUAAUCAUUCCUUAUAAUCACUCGAUAAUCACAAAAUAUAUUAUAGCAUCAUCCUAAGCAACAUAACUGCUAUAGCUAAGUGUAGUAGUCUUGGUGCAAAAAGGGUGCAGUCUUUGUAAAACCAUUUGGGAGGAUGUUGAAAAACCUUGGUAUCUCCCUGCCACCCAUUAAAUGGCCACCUCUUCAACUACCUUGACAAUGUGGAAACUACACUGAUCAGCUGAGACAGGUGGAAAGUGUCAUAGCAAGUAAAACCAGCGUCUUAUGGGAGGCAGUGUGUUUGGAAGAGAAGUGGGUGAGAGUGUAAUAGGGAUCUCAAGGAAUAAUGAGCUGCAAACUCUGCAUCCAAAGUUGUGUCUGUGUAUGUAUGUAUUGGGGAAAAAAAUAUUUUCAACCCCAGAAUGUCAGUCUGAUCUCCCACACAUAUUUUAAAAAUGUCUAGAAUUUAUGUACUUAAAAACCUUUUUUGGGGUUGGUCUUGAUCUCUUUGUCUUUCACUUUCUCAUGUUCUAGUUUAGCCCACUUAAUCACAUUUUUACAGGCACUAAUGGCUUCCUUGUAUCUUAUAUAAGAUUCCACUGAUUUGUCUGAUUUAAAUGCUUUAAAUUCCCUUUUUCUUAUUUUUAAUUUCUUGGCUUGCCUUCCCAGUAAGCCAUAUUUAUUUGUGAGGACCUGACCCAUUCAAGGCAAAGUUAAUUUAUAUAAUUUUGUUGCAGAAUAAGAAUUAAAUUAGAAUCCAGGGUAGAUAGUUCUGAUAGUUGGAAUAACAUGUGUAUCACUUGUAUCGGGUACAAUAGUUUUGGAAAAUACAUUAGUUUUAGGUGGCCACUUACCCCAACAGAGAUAUAUGCAAGGCCAACCAACAGAACAGAUCCAAAAGGUGCAUCCAAGAGGAUACAUUUUGUAAUGAUAAAGUUAUCUAUGGAUUUAGUUAAGUACAUAUGUACUUACCUAAAUGCAAUUUUUGACCCAUUGAAAGAUGUAUGUAGGAAGUAAAAGGGGCAUUCUGAAAGGACCUUAGUAAAGGGCUUUCAACUUGUUAAAAUUGAUAAAAUAAACAAAUUUAUGUAAAAUUUUGAAAAACCUAUAGGAGAGAUGUUAUACACGUUUCCUGUUUUAGUAUUUUUGUUGCUUUUGCUGUUGGUUUUGUUUAUUUUAAUUUUUUUCUACAGUUUUCUUUUGUCUGUACUAACUUAUGUGUCUCUUUAUUUGUGUAUUUACCAUCUUUUCUCUUUCUUUAUCUUUGUCUUUUCUUAAUUUUGUACAUUUGGUUUCUGAAUGAAACAAACAGCCCUUCGUCCCCAUCCACUUGUUCCCUACACAUUAUCAAUGUAAUUUUUUGCAUUUCGUCCUCUAUUUUCUGCUUUCUUCAUAGUGCCCAUCCCUCACCUCUCUCUGUGUUAGGUACUUGUGGUGAGUUGGAGAUUAAGGUGACAGUGGAGGCAUGGAAUUGUGUCUAAACAGUAGGUGUCAACUGAUCACAAAAAGGUUGAAAAAUGCAUCUCUAUGAGAAAAGUUCAGUGUCUCCUUGAAGAGAGUGGAUACACUGAAUGUUCGUGCUGCACUGUCACAGGAAGCACCUCUAGUAGCCAUUUCAGGAGUGGCCACUGGAUGUGUCUCUAGGCUGUAAUGUAAACACUGCCUUUUCUCUGAAAAAAACAGUGUAUACUGCAAAAAGCCUACAGGGACUGACAAUACUCACCAGAACAAUUACAAUAAGCUGUAGUUGUUCUGAUGACUAUCGUCCCUUUAACUCCUUGACGACCAAUGACGGUUCAGGACUGUCAACAGAAACAUCCCCUUGAGGACUGAUGAUGGUCCUGAACCGUCAUAAUUACUUACCCGAUCGCUGUCGUUCCUGCGCUGGUGAUCGGCGUUGCUCCGGGUCUGGCAGCCCAGACAGUCCCCCCUCGGCAAAUUAGACCCCCACAGGCCAUGUGAUCGCUCUAACAGAUUUGUGUUCAUCAAAGUCUCCCAAGUAUAACAGUACCCCCCAUGUACAGGUUUUUAUAGUGUUUUUGACAGUUGCAGGGUCAAAUGUAAGGCUUGAUUUUCCGUUUUUUCAAUUUGCCAGAUUGUCACUAUUGAUACAUUUUUAAAAUAUAUAUUUUGAAACUGCAGUGUCCUACUUGUACUUAUAGCCCAAUAACUUGCACAAAAAAAAAAAAAAAAAAAAAAAGUGUUUUUAAACUUAGGACACAAUUUUGAAUCUAUCAGUUUUUUCAUUAGCUUUUGUAGAUGAGUAAAAGAUUUUCCC